GUGGGGAAUCUUAGACAAUGGGCGCAAGCCUGAUCUAGCCAUGCCGCGUGAGCGAUGAAGGCCUUAGGGUUGUAAAGCUCUUUCGUGGGGGAAGAUAAUGACUGUACCCCAAGAAGAAGCCCCGGCUAACUCCGUGCCAGCAGCCGCGGUAAUACGGAGGGGGCUAGCGUUGUUCGGAAUUACUGGGCGUAAAGCGCACGUAGGCGGACUGGAAAGUCAGGGGUGAAAUCCCGGGGCUCAACACCGGAACUGCCUUUGAAACUCCCAGUCUUGAGUUCGAGAGAGGUGAGUGGAAUUCCGAGUGUAGAGGUGAAAUUCGUAGAUAUUCGGAGGAACACCAGUGGCGAAGGCGGCUCACUGGCUCGAUACUGACGCUGAGGUGCGAAAGCGUGGGGAGCAAACAGGAUUAGAAACCCCGGUAGUCC
rnacentral:rRNA from 1 species